rnacentral:lncRNA from 1 species
UCCCACUCCAAGUCUCCAACCUUAGAUGCGGCAAUUAGUAGACCACGGCCCAUCAAACUUAGGCCCAUUUCGCUGGAAUAUAUAAGCAACCACCAGCAGGCUAACCCUAACACCACAUCCCACAGGUCUGCCCCUUGCUCAGCCAACUCAGCCGCCGUCCUUCCUCCUAUCCAUCUCCCAAUCUCCCUGCUGCACAGCGACGAGUGCAACCUCCGCAUUCCCCGCACUCUGGAUCUCCAGCCACCUCGCCAUAGCUCUGCAGCACGCACGAGAGUGACCCACCGCACUCUCUACGUGUGAGCGUGUCCCAAGCUCCCAUCGAUGAAGGCCUGCUUCCUCAUCUCCGCAAGCGGCAAAGUCCCUGCAUCCAUAGGCCCGCCGCCGCCCACACACGUCUGCACCCGUCAUCCAACUCUGCCUGAAGCUCCUCCCCCAGUGCUGCCGACGAGCUGCCCCCCUCCCCCCCCCCCCCCCCCGGCCAGGCGGGACCCCCUCGCCUUGCGCUUAGUCGCGCCUAGGCGGCCGCUUAGCGUUGCCUUUUUGAACAUUGAUGGUAGAAGAUUACAACGACUUCGUUCAAAAUUCUAAUAUAUCUUACAAGGUUUGGCCAUCUUUGAAUUAUAGUUAAAUGACCAGUGCGAGAGAUAAACCACAAAUAGUUACUAAUUUUGUCCUUUAUCAGACCAACUAUUUCUAAGCUUAUGUGUUAUUGACUGUUUUUGCAGGGACUACUCAUUACUAGGUGCAGUAGUGAAAGUGUGCCCUGUAAGGUCGUGUAGCUGAUCAAUGAUUCCAAUCAUGCAUGCAAACUUGGGAGAAUACAAACAAGCAGAACUCAUUUCUACUGAAGAAAGGGCAUCUCAUGGCAUCGGAUUGAUCACCAAACAUUUCAUCAGAGAUCCACCAUUCCAGGUACCCCAAUACCCUACACUACUGAUUCAUCACUAUGUAGUUAGAAUUGGAAAUAAUCCAAAAAAAAGGCAUUUACAGCUGUGCACUGCAGAUAUCUUAAUUGCUUAGUACAAAGGAGGCUAUACAAAACUACUAGCUGUGUUAUAGCAUUGGCAAUGCAAGGAUUCUAUUUGGUUGCACAUUCAGACUAACUGCACUGUACUCUGCGAUAAUGAAAAAUUCAGAGCAGAUUAAUUGCUUGAGACUGCAAGUUGCUACUCGUCACACGAGGCUAGCAGUAGCAGUAUCUGGCUUUCAUGAACUGGAAUACUUGAUGGCCUGCCAUUCAAUGCUGGCACACUAUCUUUGUUUGUUUGCCAGCAUUUAGCUUCUUCUUUGCAUGCAACAUGUAGUGACUAUUAUAUAUAAUAAUUAUCUGUAUUUGGCAUUCCAAACUGUAGUAGAUCCUAAUGUCUAACGGCCUUCAUUGACAGCUGAAAAAGACAUGUUGUAAUGAAUUCCCAUGCAAGUUGGAUUGAUGGGAUCAAGUUUGUUUCAUCUUAUAUAUAUGUUUUGAUUAAUAUCUCAUUUCACUUAUAUCAGUGAUGCAAAUUAAUAGAUCAUGUGUCAACAGUGUUUUGAAAACCUUUCUUAUGACAGCAACAAAUUGGAUUAACAUUGUUUUGUCAUCCAUAGCAAUGCACGGGCAUUAGCUAGUACCAUAAAAGAAACAGCACUAAGCUUUGUGAUGAAGAUAAAACUAUGAAUAAAUAGCGACUUCUAGAUGGCAGACUCCAGAUUUUAUGAAAUGCCAGGCAAAAUUGAUUCAGAUCCUUUGCUGUUCCCAUACAGAUCAAGUACAAUCGAAUGAUGUUUCAUCAGGAAUCAUUUUUUGACUUAGCACUACAACUAAAUGGAAUGAUCAUACAACUAAAAGAUUUAAAGCCACUAAUUGAAUCCAAAUGGUAUUCGCAUAGAUCAAUUUUAGCCUAAAGUACUUGGGAAAAGGAGGUCAUAUACUAGAAAAAAUAUUUCAGGCAAGGUAUCACAGCCCUGUAUAUGACACUCCCUCUCCACCUAUAUUGCAGUUGAGUACAUGAAUCAUCCUUUUAAGAGCCUGCUUGGCAAUUUAGGAAAAUUAUCUUCAUAGGAAUAUUAGUGACUAGGAAAUUAUGUGCACAUAGGUCUAGGAUCUGGAUGAUUGUUUGGCAAACAUGAUCAGUAUCCUAAAAGCAGCCACGGACUUCCCCUUUGCAACCGCAGCGGCUCCUUCGCUGGAGCUUCACCGCGGGGGCGGAUCCAGUAAAGGGACAUGGGUGUGCACAUGUACGCCCAAUAAUUUUUGCAAAAAACUUCGAAGUUAGGAGACUUGCCAAUCAAAUAGCUAGAUAGCUUUAGGUUAGGGUUUCAGUGCUCAGCUUCGUACAGCAUGAAGGGAAGGGAAGGGAAGAGAAGGGGUGCGAGUACCUGGUGGGUGCUCUUCGCCGGCGAAGAGACCAACGAAAGCCUCAGCGCCUAGCUUAGGGCGGCGGCGGCGGUGGCGGCGGCCGACCAGUCGUCUGAGAGCGAGAGGGGGGCGAGAGAGACAGACAAGACAACGCACGAGGAGCCGAGGAGGGGAUGCACAAGCGGACGGAAGGAAGGGGAACGCAGGUUAGGAUGCAUCGACGGCGUCAGAAAGAUCGCACCCGCACGGGCCUUCGUCUGGGCCGUUUUUUUUUUUUGCACAAUUUCUUUGGAAAUUUUUAUUUUUCUUUCUCUCCCUUUCAAUUUUUUUAUUUUUGUUCAUUUCAUAUUUAUUAUUUCGCAGGACACUAUCAAUGGCCAGUAUUUGUUGCGUUCUAAAUUAUAUGUUGCUUCGAUUUUUUUUAAUACGUUAAUUUUGCUAUGUAUCUAUAUAUAAUAAUAUAUGUCUAGAUAUAUAGCAAAAUCAAUAAAAAAUAGUCAAAUGACUUGUAAUUUGGAAUGGAGAAAGUAAGACAUUUGUUUUAAAUAAAUGGAAUAGUAAUGAUAUUUAUGAGUAUAUUUGUAAAUAUAAUUAAAUGGAACUUUUAUAUUUUAUUAAGGUUGAAUAUUUUAAUAUUGAAUAUUGAAGGAAGCCAUUUUCACAAGAACAUAUAGCAAUUCACAAACCAAAGAAGCUAUAACAAAAAUUUUCUAAAAGAAAAACAUUUUUGUUUUUGUGACAAUUUCUCAAAUAAAUAUUAAAUAUUUUUUGUGCAAAACAUGGAACAAUAGUUCUCGUGAACAAGGAACAUUGCUAUUCACAAUUAAAAAAACGAUAUGGACUCAUAAAAUUGUUUUCCAUUCUCCAACAAGAACUAAUAAAGAGUACUGAGACUUUGAUAUCUUGUGCUAUGUAAGUUGAUGCUAAAAUUCCCGUGCGUGACUUGCUUCAUUUUUAUUCCUUACAUCUUACUCCCUCCAUCUCAAAUUGUAAGUCAUUCCAAAAAUCUUAAAGAGUCAAACUUUUCUAAAUUUGACCAAAUUUAUAUUAUAAAAUAAUUAUUAUUAUGGUACUAACUAAGUAUCAUUAGAUUCUUUUUUAAUUAUAUUUUUAUAGUAUACUCACUUUACGUUAUAAAUCUUAGUAUUUUUCUUUAUAAUUUUGGUCAAACGUGAAAAUACUUUGACUUUGCAAGAUUGUUGGAAUGACUUACAAUUUGGGAUGGAGGGAGUACUUUUGUUCUAUUAUUUCAUUUGUUAAUGAUUAUAUACUACACCAUUGUUGUUCAAUCUAUUUUGGUAAUGAAUAAACAUCUCUCAAUCGUAUAACAUAUAGUAACUUUUUUUUAUGCAGGGUGCAAAGUAGCUCAAUACAUUCCCAUUCUCCCAGUCUCGGGUGACUGCUAAAAUUCACCGGUUGAAAUGUAGGACUAGGAAUCUAGGAUGUCAACGAUAAUAACAAGUCAGCAAUUGUGGAUUCUAUUGGAGGUGUUGCAGCGAUAGAGGCUAUACAUGGAGGCGCGACUGCAACAAUGCAUUCAUGUGUGGUGAUUGUUCUAGUGCCAUGACUAGUGAGAUGAUAGUCUAUGUGUGGUGGUGAACUAGUGAUGACGGGUCUGGUCACGGGAGGCAGACCGCAGAGGUCCAUGUGGUGGUGAAAGGUUGACAGUUUUGGCCGGAUCAUGCGUUCAAUAUGUUUCAAAUUCAAUUACACAUUAUAAAGACCGACUUUUGACGGAGUGAAGCGGAGGCAGAAGUGGCCCAUUGGUGUCGCCCUCGUCGUCACUCGGUGGGUGCGGAGGUCUGGUCCCCCGCGGUACGGUACAUAUAACCAAAUUAGGGUUCCACCUCAUACAUGAUCUUGUAAGCCGCCGUACGGCAUUGUAACCCAACUCUUAAUAAUAGUGAGGAGUGUUUGCUGGCUGGCGCCCGUGGUUUUUUUCCCUUCGCAUUGGAGGGGUUUUCCACGUUAAAUCUUGUGUCUUCGCUGUGUUUUGAUCUUGUGUUCUUCGUCGUUUAUCCGCCAUCAUUCUCAACAUCAUGUGCGUCCUGCUGCUCAUAGAGGUGAAGGGCCCAAUUUUUUAUCUUCUUCUGCCCUGCUGCUUGUGCAUCCAUUGUUUUUCAUACUUGAGGCUACCGGCUAUAGUCUGGGUUGCGGAGGUUUGAGGUUCUACAUGAGCUUAUUAUAUACUAGGUAGUUGCAUGACUGUUAGGACUUUUGACAACUUCAUUGCUUCUCUUCUUGCUGCACUAUUUAAUCCACACACAUUUUAGUUCACCUUCCAAACCAGGAUCUUGGAGUUGUUGCUAUCCAUCCUAGCAUAUCCACCGGGGAGAGUCGGCCAUAU